rnacentral:lncRNA from 1 species
AACAGAAACAUUGAACAGCAUGGGAAUUUCGUCUCCAUCAUUAUAACAGAAACAUUGAACAACAUGGGGAUUUUGUCUCCAUCAUUAUAACGGAAACAUUGAACAACAUGGGGAUUUUGUCUCCAUCAUUAUAACAGAAACAUUGAACAACAUGGGGAUUUUGUCUCCAUCAUUAUAACAGAAACAUUGAACAACAUGGGGAUUUGUCUCCAUCAUUAUAACAGAAACAUUGA